UCGUAACGGUUAGCACAGUAGAGCUUGACUCUCGGGUGUACGUAGUUGGCGGAACGGGUGUACAUAAUGNUCNUGGGAAACUGCCUGUAUGGAGGGGGAUAACUACUUGUGAAACGGUAGCUAAUACCGCUAUAACGUCUUCGGACCAAAGUGGGGGACCUUCGGGCCUCACACCAUCGGAUGUGCCCANAUGGGAUUAGCUAGUAGGUGGGGUAAUGGCUCACCUAGGCGACGAUCCCUAGCUGGUCUGAGAGGAUGACCAGCCACACUGGAACUGAGACACGGUCCAGACUCCUACGGGAGGCAGCAGUGGGGAAUAUUGCACAAUGGGCGCAAGCCUGAUGCAGCCAUGCCGCGUGUAUGAAGAAGGCCUUCGGGUUGUAAAGUACUUUCAGCGGGGAGGAAGGCGAUAAGGUUAAUAACCUUNUCGAUUGACGUUACCCGCAGAAGAAGCACCGGCUAACUCCGUGCCAGCAGCCGCGGUAAUACGGAGGGUGCAAGCGUUAAUCGGAAUUACUGGGCGUAAAGCGCACGCAGNCGGUCUGUCAAGUCAGAUGUGAAAUCCCCGGGCUUAACCUGGGAACUGCAUUUGAAACUGGCAGGCUAGAGUCUUGUAGAGGGGGGUAGAAUUCCAGGUGUAGCGGUGAAAUGCGUANAGAUCUGGAGGAAUACCGGUGGCGAAGGCGGCCCCCUGGACAAAGACUGACGCUCAGGUGCGAAAGCGUGGGGGAGCAAACAGGAUUANAUACCCUGGUAGU
rnacentral:rRNA from 1 species